rnacentral:rRNA from 1 species
GAUGAACGCUGGCGGCGUGCCUAAUACAUGCAAGUAGAACGCUGAAGGAGGAGCUUGCUCUUCUGGCUGAGUUGCGAACGGGUGAGUAACGCGUAGGUAACCUGCCUGGUAGCGGGGGAUAACUAUUGGAAACGAUAGCUAAUACCGCAUGACAACAGUUGUUGCAUGAUAACUGUUUAAAAGGGGCAACUGCUCCACUACCAGAUGGACCUGCGUUGUAUUAGCUAGUUGGUGGGGUAACGGCUCACCAAGGCGACGAUACAUAGCCGACCUGAGAGGGUGGUCGGCCACACUGGGAACGAGGCACGGCCCAGGACUCUAAGGGAGGGAACAGGAGGGGAACGUCGGCAAAUGACGGAAGGCUGAACGAGGAACGCCGCGGGAGGGAAGAAGGGUCUCGGACCGUAAAGCUCCGUUGUAAGGGAAGAAAGAGUGUGAGAGUGGAAAGUUCACACUGUGACGGUAUCUGAACAGAAAGCGACGGCUAACUACGUG